AGCAGCCGCGGUAAUUCCAGCUCCAAUAGCGUAUAUUAAAGUUGUUGCAGUUAAAAGGCUCGUAGUUGAAUUUCGGGGUCAGUAGGUCGGUCGUGCCACAGGUAUGUACUGGUCUCACUGAUUCCUCCUUCCUGAUGAACCGUAAUGCCAUUAAUUUGGUGUUGCGGGGAAACUGGACUGUUACUUUGAAAAAUUAGAGUGUUUAAAGCAGGCUAACGCUUGAAUACAUUAGCAUGGAAUAAUGAAAUAGGACGUUCGGUCUUAUUUUGUUGGUUUCUAGGAUUGACGUAAUGAUUAAUAGGGAUAGUUGGGGGCAUUAGUAUUCAAUUGUCAGAGGUGAAAUUCUUGGAUUUAUUGAAGACUAACUACUGCGAAAGCAUUUGCCAAGGAUGUUUUCAUUAAUCAAGAACGAAAGUUAGGGGAUCGAAGACGAUCAGAUACCGUCGUAGUCUUAACCAUAAACUAUGCCGACUAGGGAUCGGAUGAUGUUAAUUUUAUAAUGACUCAUUCGGCGCCUUAA
rnacentral:rRNA from 1 species